rnacentral:rRNA from 1 species
UACGGAGGGGGCUAGCGUUGUUCGGAAUUACUGGGCGUAAAGGGCGCGCAGGCGGCUGCUCAAGUCAGGCGUGAAAGGCCUGGGCUCAACCCGGGAAUUGCGCUUGAGACUGGGCUGGCUUGAGUGCGGGAGAGGAUGGUGGAAUUCCCAGUGUAGAGGUGAAAUUCGUAGAUAUUGGGAAGAACACCGGUGGCGAUGGCGGCCAUCUGGACCGCAACUGACGCUGAGGCGCGAAAGCGUGGGGAGCAAACAGG